CAGCCGCCACGGGAAUACGGAGGGGGCUAGCGUUGUUCGGAAUUACUGGGCGUAAAGCGUGCGUAGGCGGAGAGUUAAGUCUGCUGUGAAAUCCCCGGGCUCAACCCGGGAAUGGCAGUGGAUACUGGCUCGCUAGAGUGUGUCAGAGGAUGGUGGAAUUCCCGGUGUAGCGGUGAAAUGCGUAGAGAUCGGGAGGAACAUCAGUGGCGAAGGCGGCCAUCUGGGACAACACUGACGCUGAGGCACGAAAGCGUGGGGAGCAAACAGGAUUAGAUACCCCAGUAGUCCCUGUCUCUUAUAC
rnacentral:rRNA from 1 species